rnacentral:rRNA from 1 species
GACGAACGCUGGCGGCGUGCCUAAUACAUGCAAGUAGAACGCUGAAGGAGGAGCUUGCUUCUCUGGAUGAGUUGCGAACGGGUGAGUAACGCGUAGGUAACCUGCCUGGUAGCGGGGGAUAACUAUUGGAAACGAUAGCUAAUACCGCAUAACAGUAGAUAUCGCAUGAUAUCUACUUGAAAGGUGCAAUUGCAUCACUACCAGAUGGACCUGCGUUGUAUUAGCUAGUUGGUGAGGUAACGGCUCACCAAGGCGACGAUACAUAGCCGACCUGAGAGGGUGGUCGGCCACACUGGGACUGAGACACGGCCCAGACUCCUACGGGAGGCAGCAGUAGGGAAUCUUCGGCAAUGGACGGAAGGCUGACCGAGCAACGCCGCGUGAGUGAAGAAGGGUUUCGGAUCGGAAAGCUCUGUUGUAAGAGAAAAACGAGUGUGAGACUGGAAAGUUCACACUGUGACGGUAUCUUACCAGAAAGGGACGGCUAACUACGUG